rnacentral:rRNA from 1 species
UACGGAGGAGGCUAGCGUUGUUCGGAAUUACUGGGCGUAAAGCGCACGUAGGCGGAUUUGUAAGUCAGGGGUGAAAUCCCGGGGCUCAACCUCGGAACUGCCUUUGAUACUGCAAAUCUCGAGUCCGGAAGAGGUGAGUGGAAUUCCUAGUGUAGAGGUGAAAUUCGUAGAUAUUAGGAAGAACACCAGUGGCGAAGGCGGCUCACUGGUCCGGUACUGACGCUGAGGUGCGAAAGCGUGGGGAGCAAACAGG